rnacentral:rRNA from 1 species
GACGAACGCUGGCGGCGUGCUUAACACAUGCAAGUCGAACGGAAAGGCCCCUUUGGGGGUACUCGAGUGGCGAACGGGUGAGUAACACGUGAGUAACCUGCCCUUGACUUCGGGAUAACUUCAGGAAACUGGGGCUAAUACCGGAUAGGAAUCCUUGCUGCAUGGGGGGGGUUGGAAAGCUUCGGCGGUUUUGGAUGGACUCGCGGCUUAUCAGCUUGUUGGUGGGGUAGUGGCUUACCAAGGCUUUGACGGGUAGCCGGCCUGAGAGGGCGACCGGCCACAUUGGGACUGAGAUACGGCCCAGACUCCUACGGGAGGCAGCAGUGGGGAAUAUUGCACAAUGGGCGGAAGCCUGAUGCAGCAACGCCGCGUGCGGGAUGACGGCCUUCGGGUUGUAAACCGCUUUCAGCAGGGGCGAAGCUUGUGGUGACGGUACCUGCAGAAGAAGCACCGGCAACCUACGU